GGAUGAGCCCGCGGCCUAUCAGCUUGUUGGUGAGGUAGUGGCUCACCAAGGCGACGACGGGUAGCCGGCCUGAGAGGGCGACCGGCCACACUGGGACUGAGACACGGCCCAGACUCCUACGGGAGGCAGCAGUGGGGAAUAUUGCACAAUGGGCGAAAGCCUGAUGCAGCGACGCCGCGUGAGGGAUGACGGCCUUCGGGUUGUAAACCUCUUUCAGCAGGGAAGAAGCGAAAGUGACGGUACCUGCAGAAGAAGCGCCGGCUAACUACGUGCCAGCAGCCGCGGUAAUACGUAGGGCGCAAGCGUUGUCCGGAAUUAUUGGGCGUAAAGAGCUCGUAGGCGGCUUGUCACGUCGGGUGUGAAAGCCCGGGGCUUAACCCCGGGUCUGCAUUCGAUACAGGCUAGCUAGAGUGUGGUAGGGGAGAUCGGAAUUCCUGGUGUAGCGGUGAAAUGCGCAGAUAUCAGGAGGAACACCGGUGGCGAAGGCGGAUCUCUGGGCCAUUACUGACGCUGAGGAGCGAAAGCGUGGGGAGCGAACAGGAUUAGAUACCCUGGUAGUCCACGCCGUAAACGGUGGGAACUAGGUGUUGGCGACAUUCCACGUCGUCGGUGCCGCAGCUAACGCAUUAAGUUCCCCGC
rnacentral:rRNA from 1 species